UACGGAGGGUGCAAGCGUUAAUCGGAAUUGCUGGGCGUAAAGCGCGCGUAGGCGGCGCGAUGAGCCGGUUGGGAAAGCCCCGGGCUCAACCUGGGAACGGCAUCCGGAACUGUCAAGCUAGAGUGCAGGAGAGGAAGGUAGAAUUCCCGGUGUAGCGGUGAAAUGCGUAGAGAUCGGGAGGAAUACCAGUGGCGAAGGCGGCCUUCUGGACUGACACUGACACUGAGGUGCGAAAGCGUGGGUAGCAAACAGG
rnacentral:misc_RNA from 1 species